rnacentral:lncRNA from 1 species
AUGAAACUCAAAAGUCAUAAGCAUGUAACCAUGGUUACAUGUAUGUAACCUUAGUUAGCCCAUCAUUAACUAAGGUUACCCUUUUGGGUAUCUACAUUUAGUCCUACACUUUAUAUGACAAUAUAUUGGCCCCCUUAACAAUGUCCAUAAGACCACCAAUUCGGCCAAACCAAAAGAUAGCACAUAACAUAUAAUUAAUCCAUAUAUUGUUCAUAUGUAUGUAGAUAUAAGUCCAUAUAUCUAACAAU